rnacentral:rRNA from 1 species
CCUACGGGAGGCUGCAGUGGGGAAUAUUGGACAAUGGGGGGAACCCUGAUCCAGCCAUGCCGCGUGUGUGAAGAAGGCCCUCGGGUUGUAAAGCACUUUCAGUGAGGAAGAACGCCUGGUGGUUAAUACCCAUCAGGAAAGACAUCACUCACAGAAGAAGCACCGGCUAACUCCGUGCCAGCAGCCGCGGUAAUACGGAGGGUGCGAGCGUUAAUCGGAAUUACUGGGCGUAAAGCGCGCGUAGGUGGCUUGAUAAGCCGGUUGUGAAAGCCCCGGGCUCAACCUGGGAACGGCAUCCGGAACUGUCAAGCUAGAGUGCAGGAGAGGAAGGUAGAAGUCCCGGUGUAGCGGUGAAAUGCGUAGAGAUCGGGAGGAAUACCAGUGGCGAAGGCGGCCUUCUGGACUGACACUGACACUGAGGUGCGAAAGCGUGGGUAGCAAACAGGAUUAGAUACCCGUGUAGUC